rnacentral:snRNA from 1 species
CUGGGAACGGCUCUCUCGGGAGCUUUCCC